rnacentral:rRNA from 1 species
AUACGGAGGGGGCUAGCGUUGUUCGGAAUUACUGGGCGUAAAGGGCGUGUAGGCGGAUCGAUCAGUCAGGCGUGAAAGCCCCGGGCUCAACCCGGGAAAUGCGCUUGAAACUGUCGAUCUUGAGUUCGGGAGAGGGUAGUGGAAUUCCCAGUGUAGAGGUGAAAUUCGUAGAUAUUGGGAAGAACACCAGUGGCGAAGGCGGCCUUCUGGACGGUGACUGACGCUGAGACGCGAAAGCGUGGGGAGCAAACAGGAUUAGAUACCCCAGUAGUCC